rnacentral:rRNA from 1 species
GAUGAACGCUGGCGGCGUGCCUAAUACAUGCAAGUCGAGCGAACGGACGAGAAGCUUGCUUCUCUGAUGUUAGCGGCGGACGGGUGAGUAACACGUGGAUAACCUACCUAUAAGACUGGGAUAACUUCGGGAAACCGGAGCUAAUACCGGAUAAUAUUUUGAACCGCAUGGUUCAAAAGUGAAAGACGGUCUUGCUGUCACUUAUAGAUGGAUCCGCGCUGCAUUAGCUAGUUGGUAAGGUAACGGCUUACCAAGGCAACGAUGCAUAGCCGACCUGAGAGGGUGAUCGGCCACACUGGAACUGAGACACGGUCCAGACUCCUACGGGAGGCAGCAGUAAGGAAUCUUCCGCAAUGGGCGAAAGCCUGACGGAGCAACGCCGCGUGAGUGAUGAAGGUCUUCGGAUCGUAAAAAUCUGUUAUUAGGGAAGAACAUAUGUGUAAGUAACUGUGCACAUCUUGACGGUACCUAAUCAGAAAGCCACGGCUAACUACGUG